UGCCAGAAAGGCGAGUGUAAACGACAACCCUGGCAGCGCACUCAUAACCCACGAUUAGCGAAAACGAAGCUUGGAAAACCCAAUGUGCCGUAGGCUAGCAAGGUUAGUUCAUUAAAUUCAAGUUCAAAGCAAGGUACAAUCAUGAGGGAUUGUAAGAUUUUCAGUAGUUCUGUGUUUCCAGUUAACUAUAUUACAUUAGCGCACAACAAUUAAGCCACUUUAGCCAACAUUAUAAAUGUUCAGAUGAAGAACAGUGUUGCCAGAUUGGUUUGUUUUCCAGCCCAGUAACUGUUCAAAAUCCACACAAAAUUAUGUAUAAUAAAUUCCCUAAUAUUAUCUAUAAUAAACGAUACAAAUGCAUUCAUAACAAGAACAUUAUCGUGGCUCAUGACAAUUUUUUCAGUAUGACACUAAUUCAGGUGUCCUUUCAGAGGCUAUAGAGGAGGCUACGUUAUACAGUGCAGCUGUAAAAUUAUUUUCCAUUUCUGUCCUUUACCUUAAAAUGACAAAAUUACACCUGCCCAAGUUCAUUCCACCCCACACAGUUCAACCCAAAACCAGCCAAUAGGGUGGAAAAGUGCCCAAUCUGGCAACACCGAUGAAGCGAACACUGAUGUAAAAUGUAAGGUGUUUAAUGAGGAAUAGUUUUUUCUCUCAUCACAUUCAGAUUUGCCUGCUGUUUAUUCUAACCUCUGACCAACAUUAUAUCUGCUUUGGAAGCCUGUCCACCAAACAAAUAAAAAAAUAAAUAAAAGAAAAAGUGGUGUGACUGGAUAGAAACGUUGGGCGUAUGAUUGAUUCUGCCCGUAUUGCAGUGUGGAAACUUGAGGCUGUAGGCCACAAGUCCAUUUUAUUUAUUGGCAAACAGGAUAAAAGAGCUUCGAGUAAGUGGGUUGCAGAUAUUAUUAUCCAUCUGCACCCCACUCCUGGUACGAGGAAUUUUUGGAGAAGAUGCAGAGGGCUUAUGAAUUUAUCUUGACAAAAGGGCAAACACCGGAGAGCCUCGCCGUGGAGCAGCCGGAGAGCGUCGCCGUGGAGCAGCCGGAGAGCCUCGCCGUGGAGCAGCCGGAGAGCCUCACCAUUGAGCAGCCGAAGAGCCUCGCCGUGGAGCAGCCGGAGAGCGUC